rnacentral:tRNA from 1 species
GGCCGUGUGCCCGAGUGGUUCAGGGGCUCGCCUGCAAAGCGAGUAACGCGGGUUCGAAUCCCGCCACGGCCUCCA